ACCUUUCUCAAUCCGAGCACAGAUUUCGUCAGACACCAACCCAUUAGGACUGAUCAGACUUCCAAGAUAAAUGAAGUU
rfam:Schistosoma rodhaini strain Burundi genome assembly, scaffold: SROB_scaffold0022457